AUACUUAACCUGGCUAGGGGAGCACCAUAAUCAGGAAAGUAGUUUUCCCUGGGAGAUGCUCAGCCAUUGGGAGCUGCCUGUGUUGACUACUGCAGUUUUUCUAUGUUCUAUAAACUCAGCUGUAGAAUUUGUGGUAGUGGGGACUACAUUGAUGCUCUCCUUG